UCCGAAUUGGUGUAGGGGUUAACAUUGCCGCCUCUCAGUCUUAUGUAAUCUUCUCAAGUUGCGUAAUCUGAUCGCGGCAGCCCGGGGUUCGAUUCCCCGAUUCGGAA